rnacentral:rRNA from 1 species
UCUCUUGGUGCUGAUUUUGCGGUCAAAGAUCUUGGGAAGCUUCACUACUUUCUUGGAGUUGAGGUCACUUCUCGUGCUACUGGUCUUGUCUUUACGCAGAAGAAGUACUCCUUGGAGUUGUUACAAAGAGCGGGCAUGCUGAAGUGCAAACCGACCACCACACCCAUGUCGUCUACUGACAAGAUAACAGCUGUUGAUGGUGAGCUUUUGUCUCCUGCGGAUGCCACAGAGUACAGGAGCAUUGUUGGUGGACUUCAGUACUUGACGAUCACGAGACCAGAUAUCUCUUAUGCUGUUAACAAG